rnacentral:rRNA from 1 species
UCCAUCUCUCCUACCGAUUGAAUGAUGUGGUGAAGUGUUUAAAUCACGGUAACGUGGGUGGUUCACCACCCACAAUGUCGCGAAAAGUCCACAAACCUUAUCAUUUAGAUGAAAGAGAAGUCGUAA